rnacentral:pre_miRNA from 14 species
UUUUAAUGUGAAAGAUCCCUGAAGGGAGACUUUUACUCAAGUCUCAGGAAGUCCCGGACCCCAGACACACGAGAGACC